CCUGGCAGUAGGGGCAGGAUCCUGGUAGUAGGGAUGGAGUCCUGGUAGUAGGGGUUAGAUCAUGGUAGGGUGGGAUCGUGGUAGUAGGGGUUGGAUCAUGGUAGUAGGGGUGGGAUCAUGGUAGGGGGAUUCAUGGUAGUAGGGGCGGGAUCAUAGUAGUAGUAGGGGUUGGAUCAUGGUAGUAGGGGCUGAUUCAUGGUAGUAGGGGUGGGGUCCCAGUAGUUUGGAUAGGGUCCUGGUGGUAGGGGUGGGGACAAUCUUCCACCAGUGCUAAUUCCAGUGUUAUGAUGUUGUACAUUAGUCUUGCAGUUUCCCACCCUGACUACCAGGGUUGCAUUGUUUCACAUUCGUUUCUUCACAUGAUCAUUAAUGAUGUAAUCAAACCCUGACUGGGCCUCACUGUGAAGCACGUCCCUCUUCAAUAAUUAGGAAGUAGAAUCUUUGCAGUAGAAAUCAGUAAUUACUGUAGAUUUGAAUUUAUGUCGUAAGCAGUAUGAUGUAAAUUAUAACCUGACAUAUUGUGUAUUGGUUGUCAUAACAUGUUUAUUGUUCCUCUCAUCUUGUAUAUCCAGGUGAUGUUAUAAUGUGUGUGUGAUUCACAGGUAUAUGUCUAUCACAGGUGUGUGUGUGUGUGUUUAUCACAAGUGAGUGUAUGUGUAUUAAUGCAGGUAACAGGUUGUGUCUGUUUAAGCAUUUCUUCAGCAGUGCCAGACAUUAUGAAUUUUUACUUCACUUUGUUUUCAUACAAUGAUGCUCUUAGGAGUUGUCAUCCAUGUUGAGUUCCAGAUUGUGUGGUAACUGACGUCUUCUGUUGCUGCACUUCAGGUUGUACUGACUCCCAAGAUGAACUAAUGUGUUGUGUUACUCUGUGGAAGUUGCUUCCUGGAUCUGAAGUCAGUUCUAUAUGUCAGAUUAUAUACAGAUGGAAUGUCAUGUGAGAGCUUGUAAGGUGAGAUAGUCUUGCACAAGACCUUGGUAAAAUACCCCACAAGACAGCUGACAAACUUAUGACAGUGUUGUGAAGUCCCAUCUCUUUACCAAUCCAGUGUGUAGUUUGAUCAGAAGGAACACCUCCCUUAUGCAGUGUUCAGUUUGAUACUACUUCAAUUAACACUUGGCUAUGGUGUCUGCAACCAAUAGACUAGCUUCAUUGUUUAUGAUAUCUGACUUGGGAAUUCUGGGAUAAACAACACCUUCUAGGGAGAUAGUUCCAAAUCAGGGGCAUCACACUCUCAAAUGGGCAACGUUUUGCUGCCAUUUUAUCUGUGACUUUGGAUCUUUUCUUAUGGAAACAUGGCAGCAUACUAAAUCAUGUUCAUGGUGUUGACUCUGCUGGUGUUGAUGACAAUGCUUGGCUGAACCUAUAGCUGACGGGAUAUUCAAGGUAGAAACUACUGGUCACUGAUGUAAAACUUAUGUUUUCAUACAUAAUCCCACACAGUGGUAACCUGCCAUUUCCCUUGCUUGCCUCAGUCCACAUCACCAGCUGAUGUUGCUGCUUGUGCAUCACGUCCACUGAAUCGAACACUCUCAGGACUGUAACUGUCGCUUCAUGUUCAUGUCUCUCACUGUGCUUUCACCACCAGAUCAUGAAGGCUUGUCAAGUGUAAGAUUAAUGAGAAAUUCUACAAACAGAGUUGUGUUCAGUUCUUAGUAUACUGACUCUUCAGAAUACUUUUUGAAGUAGAAGAAAUGAGAAAUGUAAUUAGGCUCAAGAACAAUAGUACAUUUAAAGUAUGGGUUAAAAAUUAGUCUUCCUUUUCUAGGUGUUCUUUUCUGUUUUUGAAAUAGUAGGAGGUAAUUUUUGUGUGAAUGUUGAUGUGUGAGGUGUGUUUUGAAUGUGGAGCCCUACCUCUGCAUUAUUAACAUAUGUAGUCAGUGUAAAGUGUGAUCUUACAAUUAUAUCUAUAACCUUUGAAAAUUUAUUGCUUAGUUUCAUAAGGAAACUUUAAGGAAAUAUUUUAUUGAAUUUAUCAAUUGCACAUUUCAAAGAGGUUGAAUGCAAAAGCUAGAUAGAACAUUUGAUUUCAAAAUGUUUCCAAUUAUGUAGUGGUUUAUAUGUUAUAACAGAAUUAUGGUAGAGAAAGAUGAGAGCUUGUCUUUGGCUUCGGCUCCAGGGACUGAGUGACAUUGACCUGCUCCAUUGUCAACACAUUAAUCAGAUUUUUGUACACUUGUUUAAUUCCUUCAUUCUUAUGAAAAUAAAAAAAUAAAAUAUUUUUAUAUAACA